rnacentral:rRNA from 1 species
GAGUUUGAUCAUGGCCAGGACGACCCCUGGCGGCGUGCUUAACACAUGCAAGUCGAGCGGUAACCCUCCUUCGGGAGUACACGAGCGGCGAACGGGUGAGUAACACGUGAGUAAUCUGCCCUUCACUUCGGGAUAACCACCGGAAACGGUGGGCUAAUACCGGAUACGACCAGUCCCGGCAUCGGGUGCUGGUGGAAAGUCUUUUCGGUGGAGGAUGUGCUCGCGGCCUAUCAGUUUGUUGGUGGGGUAAUGGCCUACCAAGGCUUCGACGGGUAGCCGGCCUGAGAGGGUGACCGGCCACACUGGGACUGAGACACGGCCCAGACUCCUACGGGAGGCAGCAGUGGGGAAUAUUGGACAAUGGUCGAAAGCCUGAUCCAGCAACGCCGCGUGAGGGAUGACGGCCUUCGGGUUGUAAACCUCUUUCAGUACCGACGAAGCGCCCUGUCGGGUGGUGACGGUAGGUACAGAAGAAGGACCGGCCAACUACGUGCCAGCAGCGCGGUAA